rnacentral:misc_RNA from 1 species
GAUGAAGAACGUAGCAAAAUGCGAUAAGUAAUGUGAAUUGCAGAAUUCAGUGAACCAUCGAAUUUUUGAACGCACAUUGCGCCCGGCAGUAAUCUGCCGGGCAUGCCUGUCCGAGCGUCAUUUCUGCCCUCGAGCGAGUCCAGCAUCUAGGUGCUGGGCCCGCCCGGCGUUGGGGCACUACGGGAAGCCCUGUGCUGUCCCCCGUAGGCCCCGAAAUGAAGUGGCGGUCCUGCCGCGGCGCCCCCUGCGUAGUAUAACAGCUCGCUUCGGGACCCGGUGGAGGCCUGCCGUCAAACCUUACUCUCUAAGUUUGACCUCGGAUCAGGUAGGGUUACCCGCUGAACUUAAGCAUAUCAAUAAGCGGAGGA